CACGUAGGGGGCAAGCGUUGUCCGGAUUUAUUGGGCGUAAAGAGCUCGUAGGUGGUUCGGUAAGUCGGGUGUGAAACCUCCAGGCUCAACCUGGAUACGCCAUCCGAUACUGCUGUGACUGGAGUCCGGUAGGGGAGCGUGGAAUUCCUGGUGUAGCGGUGAAAUGCGCAGAUAUCAGGAGGAACACCAGCGGCGAAGGCGGCGCUCUGGGCCGGUACUGACACUGAGGAGCGAAAGCGUGGGUAGCAAACAGG
rnacentral:rRNA from 1 species